rnacentral:lncRNA from 1 species
UGUGUAUACAAAACAGUAGAACUAAAACAAGUCAUGAAUAUAUGCAACAACAAGCAAUAAACAUGUAAUGAAAGGAAAUUUUUUUUUUUUUUUUUUUUUUUUUUUUUUUUUUUUUUUUUUUUUUUUUUUAUUUUUUUUUUUUUGUUCACUACUACAAUGUAACAAGUUGUUCAAAUUUUUUUUGAUUAUAUUUGUUAUAUUCCUUAGAAGAAAUACCUAAAAACUCUAAGCAUUCUGGUGUAAGAUCGGUAAAUAUGUUUGACUCGGGCCACGUAUAACGAUUUUGGGUUGAUUUGCUUUUGGUUUCAUGGAUUAGCUCGUUUUGAUUUAUGCGAUCGUUCUCAUUCGUUUGAUCUUUUUCAUUCGUUUGAUUGUUUGGAAGUUGGAGUUGUACGUGAAUUUGUUCACCCUUAAGCGAAAUGGACUGACUCAGUCCCAUUGUAACAUUUUUUACAUCAUCAUCCAAAUAGCGAUUUAAACAGUAGCCUUGUUCAUCUUUUUGAUCAUAAUUUAAAGAAUAUUUUUUUAUUUUAUUCAUAAAUGAAAUAAUGUCAUUUUUUUUUAAAGUACUAUUAAACGAUUUCAUUAUACUUAUGUUUUGACGUAAAAUAAUAUCAUAAACUAAAUGUUUAAGAAAAGCAUCUUUAAUUUCAUUAUAUUUAUCUAUAAAUUUAUCAAAAGUAUUAAAUUCUGAUGGUAAUUUAUUUUUCCAUUUAUUAUGCGUAUGUAAAAAAAAAAAUAAAUUUUUUAUGUUUUUAUAUUGAUGUAUUAAG